rnacentral:piRNA from 11 species
CUCUGGACUCUGAAUCCAGCGAUCCGAGU